UACGUAGGGACCGAGCGUUGUCCGGAAUCAUUGGGCGUAAAGAGCGUGUAGGCGGCCACUUAAGUCCUGCGUGAAAUCUUGCGGCUCAACCGCAAGCGGUCGUGGGAAACUGGGUGGCUAGAGUGCGGGAGAGGAGAGUGGAAUUCCUGGUGUAGCGGUGGAAUGCGCAGAUAUCAGGAAGAACACCGGUGGCGAAGGCGGCGACCUGGUCUGAUACUGACGCUGAGGCGCGACAGCGUGGGGAGCAAACAGG
rnacentral:rRNA from 1 species